rnacentral:rRNA from 1 species
AGAAUCAACGCUGGCGGCGUGCCUCAGACAUGCAAGUCGAACGCGAAAGUUUCCUUCGGGAAACAAGUAGAGUGGCGCACGGGUGAGUAACACGUAGGUAAUCUACCUUUGGAUGGGGAAUAACAACCGGAAACGGUUGCUAAUACCGCAUAAUGCAGCGGCACCUAAUGGUGACAGUUGUUAAAGCGGGGGAUCGAAAGACCUCGCGUCUAAAGAGGAGCCUGCGGCGGAUUAGCUAGUUGGUAAGGUAACGGCUUACCAAGGCUACGAUCCGUAGCCGGCCUGAGAGGGCGGUCGGCCACGACUGACACUGACAUACGGGUCAGACUCCUACGGGAGGCAGCAGUCGGGAAUUUUGGGCAAUGGGCGAAAGCCUGACCCAGCAACGCCGCGUGAAGGAUGAAGUUUUUCGGAAUGUAAACUUCGUAAAAAUAGGAAGAAUAAAUGACGGUACUAUUUGUAAGGUCCGGCUAAUUACGUGCCAGCAGCCGC